AUUGAACGCUGGCGGCAGGCCUAACACAUGCAAGUCGAGCGAGCGGCGGACGGGUGAGUAAUGUCUGGGAAACUGCCUGAUGGAGGGGGAUAACUACUGGAAACGGUAGCUAAUACCGCAUACCAUCAGAUGUGCCCAGAUGGGAUUAGCUAGUAGGUGGGGUAACGGCUCACCUAGGCGACGAUCCCUAGCUGGUCUGAGAGGAUGACAAGCAACAUGGGAACGGUGACACGGUCCAGGCUCCUAGGGGGGGCAGCAGUGGGGAAUAUGGACAAAUGGGCGCAAGCCUGAUGCAGCCAUGCGGGUUGUGUGAAGAAGGCCUUCGGGUUGUAAAGCAUUUUCAGCGGGGAGGCGUUACCCGAAGAAGAAGCACCGGUUAACUCCGUGCCAGCAGCCGCGGUAAUU
rnacentral:rRNA from 1 species